CUGGCUUCAUAUUUUUUGUAAAAUCUUCCACUGAUGCUGGGAAUUCUACCUACGCAAAGACUGAUCUCACCUACUGAAGAGGGAAGGAGCUAGAGAAGAAGGCAAUUUCUCCUGUGGCUUGAGAGAAAGUGUUGAUAUAAGGCCUCCAGGGCAUGUACUGGACCCAACGCUUCCCAUCCCUGUGAACUUCUCGAGGAAAACACCUGCCAUUUGGGGCACUCCUGUGUUCAAAGGGAAAAGCACCGCUCAUUGCUCGUGUGUGAGGAUGACAUGCCUGGAGGCAGGGAAGCCAGAUAUACUUUUCUCUCUGUCCACCACUCUACAAGGCGGGCAGAACAUGAGGCCCUCGGGCUGCCAUGGGCUGAGAGUUCUCCGUCCUUCUUCGGUGAGAGGCUCGCGGGCCAGCGACGUCAGGAGAGCAUGCUGUUUCCAGCAAGGG